rnacentral:rRNA from 1 species
UAGGGAAUCUUCGGCAAUGGGGGGAACCCUGACCGAGCAACGCCGCGUGAGUGAAGAAGGCUUUCGGAUCGUAAAGCCCUGUUGCUAAGGAAGAACGAGUGUGAGAAUGGAAAGUUCAUACUGUGACGGUACUUAACCAGAAAGGGACGGCUAACUACGUGCCAGCAGCCGCGGUAAUACGUAGUUCCCGCGCGUUGUCCGGAUUUAUUGGGCGUAAAGCAAGCGCAGGCGGUUAGCUAAGUCUGAAGUUAAAGGCAGUGGCUCAGCCAUUGUAGGCUUUAGAAACUGUUUAACUUGAGUGCAGAAGUGGGGAGUGGAAUUCCAUGUGUAGCGGUGAGAUGCGUGGAGAUAUGGUGGAACACCGGUGGCGAAAGCGGCUCUCAGGUCUGUAACUGUCGCUGCGGCUAGAAAGCGUGGGGAGCGAACAGG